AGUAAAGGCUGGGAAUCUGAACUGUUAAGUCUCCGAGGCCCCUGCAAUGAUCUGGCCAAAUUUGACAGCACUGAUAUAUAGAGAACAAAGUUUUCAUCUACAGAGGGAAGGAGUAUGAACGAAGAGAAGAUUUCCAGAUGCAGCUGAUGAGCCAGUUCCCCAACGCAGAGAAGAUGAACACAACCUCCACACCUGGGGAUGAUGUGAAGAAUGCCCCAGGCCAGUACAUCCAGUGCUUCACCGUCCAGCCUGUCUACGAUGAACCCCCCAGUUUCAAAAAUAAGCAAGUGCCU